rnacentral:rRNA from 1 species
UCGCAUUGAACGGGGAAUUGGGGGGGUUAACGGUUCGGAAACGGACGCUAAUACCGCAUACGUCCUACGGGAGAAAGCAGGGUGACCUUCGGGCCUUGCGCUAUCAGAUGAGCCUAGGUCGGAUUAGCUAGUUGGUGAGGUAAUGGCUCACCAAGGCUACGAUCCGUAACUGGUCUGAGAGGAUGAUCAGUCACACUGGAACUGAGACACGGUCCAGACUCCUACGGGAGGCAGCAGUGGGGAAUAUUGGACAAUGGGCGAAAGCCUGAUCCAGCCAUGCCGCGUGUGUGAAGAAGGUCUUCGGAUUGUAAAGCACUUUAAGUUGGGAGGAAGGGCAUUAACCUAAUACGUUAGUGUUUUGACGUUACCGACAGAAUAAGCACCGGCUAACUCUGUGCCAGCAGCCGCGGUAAUACAGAGGGUGCAAGCGUUAAUCGGAAUUACUGGGCGUAAAGCGCGCGUAGGUGGCUAAGUCAGCCAGGUGUGAAAGCCCCGGGCUCAACCUGGGAACGGCAUCUGGAACUGCUUGGCUAGAGUGCAGGAGAGGAAGGUAGAAUUCCCGGUGUAGCGGUGAAAUGCGUAGAGAUCGGGAGGAUUACCAGUGGCGAAGGCGGCCUUCUGGACUGACACUGACACUGAGGUGCGAAAGCGUGGGUAGCAAACAGGAUUAGAUACCCCUGGUAGUCCACGCCGUAAACGAUGUCACUAGCCGUUGGGUCCCUUGAGGACUUAGUGGCGCAGCUAACGCAAUAAGUUGACCGCCUUGGGGAAGUACGGCCGCAAGGUUAAACUUCAAAUUGAAUUGGACGGGGGGCCCCGCGCAAGCCGUUGGAGCCAUGUGUGUUUUAAUUUCGAAUGCACCGCGGAAGAACCUUUACCCAGGCCUUGACCAUCCCAAUGAAACUUUCUUAGAGAUAAGAUUGGUGGCCUUCCGGAACAUUUGAAAACAGGGGGCUGGCAUGGCUCGUUCUCCCAGCCUCGGGUC